AGAGCACAGUGUCCCACAGAUGCCUGAAUAUCCUCCCACAUCUGUAAAGGCACUUACAGGAUCUUUCAGCAAGAGGGAGGGAGCCUGAGAUCAACCCCAUCAUACGUGCUUGGGCAAUGACUUUCUACCACCCAGCAUGCACACUAUUGGCCUGCCUCUUCCUUAGCAGCAGCAGCAUAACUGAGUUGGGGAAAUUGAGGCAUGGAGCAGUAAUGUGAUUUGCCCAAGGUCACCCAGCAAAUCAGUGGCAGAACCAAGAAUUAGACUCCAGGUCUCCCAGCUCCCAUGCUGGUGCCAUAUCUCCUUGGCCAUGCU